GGGGAAUAUUGGACAAUGGGCGAAAGCCUGAUCCAGCCAUGCCGCGUGUGUGAAGAAGGUCUUCGGAUUGUAAAGCACUUUAAGUUGGGAGGAAGGGCUGCAAGUUAAUACCUUGUAGUUUUGACGUUACCAACAGAAUAAGCACCGGCUAACUUCGUGCCAGCAGCCGCGGUAAUACGAAGGGUGCAAGCGUUAAUCGGAAUUACUGGGCGUAAAGCGCGCGUAGGUGGGUUUGGUAAGAUGAUGUGAAAUCCCCGGGCUCAACCUGGGAACGGAAUCAAUACUUGCUGACUUGGAGAAGGGUAGAGGUGGGGGGAAUGUCCGGGGUAGGGGGGAAAUGCGAGGUUAAAGGAAGGAAACCAAGGGGGGAAGGCGACAACUGGGACUGUAACUAACACGGGGGUGGGAAAGCGUGGGAGCAAACA
rnacentral:rRNA from 1 species